CCAGGUUGAUUCUGCCUGACGUAGACGCUAUUCCCUAAGAUUAACCCAUGCAUGUUUUUGACAUUUGAAAAAUGGACUGCUCAGUAAUACUCACUUUAUUUUAUGUAAAUUUUUGGUUAAUUAACUACGUUAAAGUGUAGAUAAGAUGUUUACAGUAAGAGUGAGACCUAUCAGCUAGUUGUUAAGGUAAUGGCUUAACAAGGCUGUGACGGGUAACGGUAUUACUUUGUAAUAUUCCGGAGAAGGAGCCUGAGAGACGGCUACUAAGUCUAAGGAUUGCAGCAGGGGCGAAACUUGACCUAUGGAUUUUAUCUGAGGCAGUUAUGGGAAGUAAUAUUAUAUUGUUUCAUAUUUUAAAAGUAUAUGAGGUGAUUAAUUGGAGGGCAAAUCAAGUGCCAGCAGCCGCGGUAAUACUUGUUCCAAGAGUGUGUAUGAUGAUUGAUGCAGUUAAAAAGUCCGUAGUUUAUUUUUUUAAGAAGCAAUAUGAGGUGUACUGUAUAGUUGGGAGAAAGAUGAAAUGUGACGACCCUGACUGGACGAACA
rnacentral:rRNA from 1 species